AGUGAACGCUGGCGGUAGGCCUAACACAUGCAAGUCGAACGGCAGCACAGUAAGAGCUUGCUCUUACGGGUGGCGAGUGGCGGACGGGUGAGGAAUACAUCGGAAUCUACUUUUUCGUGGGGGAUAACGUAGGGAAACUUACGCUAAUACCGCAUACUACCUACGGGUGAAAGCAGGGGAUCUUCGGGCCUUGCGCGAUUGAAUGAGACGAUGUCGGAUUAGCUAGUUGGCGGGGUAAAGGCCCACCAAGGCGACGAUCCGUAGCUGGUCUGAGAGGAUGAUCAGCCACACUGGAACUGAGACACGGUCCAGACUCCUACGGGAGGCAGCAGUGGGGAAUAUUGGACAAUGGGCGCAAGCCUGAUCCAGCCAUACCGCGUGGGUGAAGAAGGCCUUCGGGUUGUAAAGCCCUUUUGUUGGGAAAGAAAAGCAGCAGGUUAAUACCCCGCUGUUCUGACGGUACCCAAAGAAUAAGCACCGGCUAACUUCGUG
rnacentral:rRNA from 1 species